rnacentral:rRNA from 1 species
UGAACGCUGGCGGCAUGCCUUACACAUGCAAGUCGAACGGCAGCACGGGAGCAAUCCUGGUGGCGAGUGGCGAACGGGCGAGUAAUAUAUCGGAACGUGCCCAGUCGUGGGGAUAACGCAGCGAAAGCUGUGCUAAUACCGCAUACGAUCUACGGAUGAAAGCGGGGGAUCGCAAGACCUCGCGCGAUUGGAGCGGCCGAUAUCAGAUUAGCUAGUUGGUGAGGUAAAGGCUCACCAAGGCGACGAUCUGUAGCUGGUCUGAGAGGACGACCAGCCACACUGGAACUGAGACACGGUCCAGACUCCUACGGGAGGCAGCAGUGGGGAAUUUUGGACAAUGGGCGCAAGCCUGAUCCAGCAAUGCCGCGUGAGU